GACGAACGCUGGCGGCGUGCCUAAUACAUGCAAGUAGAACGCACAGUUUAUACCGUAGCUUGCUACACCAUAGACUGUGAGUUGCGAACGGGUGAGUAACGCGUAGGUAACCUGCCUGGUAGCGGGGGAUAACUAUUGGAAACGAUAGCUAAUACCGCAUAAUAUUAAUUAUUGCAUGAUAAUUAAUUGAAAGGUGCAAUUGCACCACUACCAGAUGGACCUGCGUUGUAUUAGCUAGUAGGUGAGGUAACGGCUCACCUAGGCGACGAUACAUAGCCGACCUGAGAGGGUGAUCGGCCACACUGGGACUGAGACACGGCCCAGACUCCUACGGGAGGCAGCAGUAGGGAAUCUUCGGCAAUGGACGAAAGUCUGACCGAGCAACGCCGCGUGAGUGAAGAAGGUUUUCGGAUCGUAAAGCUCUGUUGUAAGAGAAGAACGGGUGUGAGAGUGGAAAGUUCACACUGUGACGGUAUCUUACCAGAAUGGGACGGCUAACUACGUG
rnacentral:rRNA from 1 species